rnacentral:ncRNA from 1 species
UCUGAAUCGCAGCUUGUGGGAACUUCCAUCUUCAUUGUGCCAUGUGGGAUCCUUAGUUGCAGGAUCUUUUCUUUAAAAAAGAGUCUUUUAAAAAAACAGAAAGAAAGAAAGAUCCUUGCACCACCUGGGCGCAACUCACUCUGGGGACAGUGCUGGGUGGGGAGUCUGACUCAGACAAUACACCUGUCAAACAGUAACACAGGUAUUCUAAGGCGAGCUCGGGGGAGACAGAAACCUCCCGUGGAGCAGAAGGGCAAGAGCUCACUUGAUCUUGAUUUUCAGUACGGAUACAGACCUUGAAAGCAGACCCUUUUUUAAAUAAAUAAAAAGCUG